CUAUCAUCAGCAAGAUAUCUGGCUCCCAAGUGUCUUUUAUACAGGCAAUGAGCUGAGAUUAAAUGAGCUCCCUCUUAAAGGGAGUGAUCCUAAUCUCAGCUCAUUACCUGUAUAAAAGACACCUGUUCACAGAAUCAAUCAAUCAAUCAGAUUCCAAACUCUCCACCAUGGCCAAUGGGCUACAAUAUCAUCGCCAAGUAGCUUGGUGAGAAGGUGACAACAGUUGGUGCGAUUAUUCGCAAAUGGAAGAAACACAAAGUAACUGUCAGUCUCGCUCAGUCUGGUGAUGGUGAGGAAUCAGCCCAAAACUAUUUGGAAGGAUCUUGUUAAUGAUCUCAAGGCAGCUGGGACCAUAGUCACCAAGAAAACAAUUGGUAACACACUACGCCGUGAAGGACUGAAAUCCUGC